CAUUAAGUGGCUGAAAGUGAAGCAAUGGUCUCUUAAACCAAAAUAUAGUAAUUAACGUAUACUCUUAAUGG
rnacentral:tRNA from 1 species